UAUCUGUAUCCCUUGGGUAUUGGGCAAAUGGGUUAAAGCCUGUUGGAUUAAAAAUAGCUCUUGUUGGCUAGCCUAAGUUUUAAAAUGAAUUUGAUGAAAAGUAAUUAAAACUAAUUUGAUAUUGCAUAAUAGACUAAUCUGAUAUAAUAUUAUUAAUUUAAAAACUAAUUUUAUGGGGUGGGGUGGAAUCAGCAUGUCCAUAUGAAUUACAUAUUAAAACCUGUCGGACAUUAAAUCUCAACAAAAAAAAAUCUUUGAGUAUUUUAUAAAUUAUAUGUUUUAAAAAAAUUUUGUGGUAGAUAGUGCAGACCCAUUCAUCUCUUGGUAGUAAUGAGUAGACAAGCAUCCAGUUACUUUUAGAUUAAUUAAUGAGUUCAAUGUAGGAAGGCUAGCUCAGUCUUAUCUGUAUCCUUUGGGGAUUAGACAGAAGAACUGCUGGUCAGUUUAUAGCAUAUUUGAUUUGAUGGCCUGCCUUUUAUUUUCAAAAUUAAUUUGGUAUAGAUUAAGGUGUUAAGACUAAUUUGAUAUUGUUUAAUAUGAUGGGCAUUUGACAAGGUCUAACACAACCAGCAUAGAAAUCUAUCAAUGAUGUAAUAUUUAUUAUAAUUAAUGCCUACAUCACAGGGGAUGGAUAAAUACUUUAA